UUUCCCUUCUCUACGCGCGCGCGCGCGGGCCCUGAGAAGGUGGAACCGGGAACAUUGUUGUAACUCUUUUGAAUUUAUUCUACCAGUUCAUAUUGCCAUAUUGAGCUAGUUUUACAAACAUAAAUAUUGUCAGUGUGCCUUUCACGUCAGUGCUUACUAAAAUGUUUUUCUUUCUUUUGUAUAAUCCGAUUUGUUUGCGCCAAGUGUUUUCAAAAUACAGUGAUAUGUGGAAAAUUUAAAAAUGACUAUGCUUCGGUUAGCCACUCAUUGUUGCACUACUUAUGAGCAAGGCAAUAACAACAUAAUGAAUAGGCAUUCUGCCACAACAGAAGCAUCCAGUGCAAGUCUGGUUUCCUCUGCGAACAACUUGAUACAAGUAGACCCAACAUUUUUUGAAGUGUGUCAGUUCGAACAUGCUCUGAAGAAAGUCUAUAGUGUUCAUGGUGAGAAAAUUGAUGAUAGGCUGAUUCCAAGUCUUCAUCUACUGACACAAAGGAACAAGCAAAAGAAAAAAAACAUUACAGCUUUAACACAAAAGGCAUGUGAAAAUGAGAAGAACCGUGUUGUUACCAAAGAAAUGGAAUGCAGUAUUUUGGUACCGCUACAUCCAAACAACAAUAAAAAAAUUUCAUCGAUUCCGUCAUAUUUCCAAGAGCAAAUCUAUCAGGCUAGCCUGCACAAGAGACACAGAUAUCUCUCUGGGAACUGCAGCGGUAAAAACUUGCUGUUAUCUGGUUUGUCUGUUUUGAGCUCAAAGCUCUCCAAGUCAGACACGCUGGUUGAUUUAGAGGCUCAAAUGAAACAUUCCAAGCCCCCAGAUUUUUUUCAGCUUGAUGACAAACUAAUUGAAGACAUCCUUGGGGAUGAAAAAGUGUUUGAAAAUUCUUCUACAGCAGUGUCGGCUCUAUCUGCACAUUUCAGUACUGCCACACUUCCACAGAAUGCCACUCUUAGAAACCUUAAUGUACUUGAUGAUCAGGCAGUAAUAGAUGAUUACUUAGACAUGCUUGAAGAAUGGGAAAAGUGGCAUGGAAAAUUCUUGGCUGUUUAAACUAUUUUAAUCUCAUGAAAAAAAUGUGAUUGUAAAAAUGCUUUAAUGAAGUUGAAAAUCUUCAUAGGAAUAAUAAAAUAUGACUAGGUAUGCUUUAAAGAAAAUGGCUGUGAAAUUUAAGCGAAACAUUUUAAUUGUAGAUGUUACUUUUUAAGUAGGGUUAUUUUAGUAUUACUUCAGAUACUAAGCAUUAAGUAUAAGUUUUGUCACUAUUUUUUUUUUCUUUAUCUGAAUGCAUUCAUUAAACUUUUUCAAAUUUGACUCAACAGAAACUUAAAGUACCUGAUUGUUAACUGCCAAUGUAAAUUAAGGUUAAUAAAAUCAAUAGAUUUAAUCUUUUUGCAUUCAAUUUUUAUGAUAUGUAGGUAGGUACUAUAGCUUUUGUCAGUUGUUCUAACCAAAAUUGAUACAGUAUACCUAACUAAACAUUUUAAAUGCUUCCACUACUAAUUUUUGGCUUCUCUUCAAAAGUACUUUGGAAGAACUGUUAAUAAAUAAUGAUUUGUUAUUUUCUACUCAUGUUAUGAUGAAACCAAUGAAAAAUAAAUAUUUUUUUAGCAGGUUUGCCUUUGCUGAGGUACAGAUUGAGAUAUUUUUUUUUUAACUGUUACUGUUUGAUUAUUUCAAGGCGAAUGAACUACUGUUUAAAAGCUAAAUAUUUCGUUGUUGUUGUUGUUGUUGUUGUUGUUGUUGUUUGUUGUUGUUUGUUGUUGUUGUUUGUUGUUAUUAUUAUUUUAAAACUGAAAUACUGUUAAACAGCUUUAUUUCAACACCAAUGGGGAGUUAAAUGUUACAUGAGGAUAAACAGUGGGAUGAUAUGAUGGCUUAUUUAACUUAAUAAAAAAAUAAAUAAUUUAAAGUUUUUAAAAUGAACUUUAUCAGCAGGUGCUUGUACAAGAAUGAAUUAAGAAGCUUUAUGAAUUAAGUAGCUUUUACAGUAUUUUAAUAGUUUUAAUGCUAGUGCUGCUUCUUUUGAAAAAUGCAGUACAUAUUCUUUUAGUAUAAGUUCUUGAGUUUGUUAGCAUUGUUGCAUCAUAAUUUUAUUUUUAGAAUGGACAUAGUAUUUUUUAGCAGUUUUGUGGAAAUUUAUUUUCCCCAGUUACCUUUGAAUGGCAAAAAAUGAAAUUAAAAGUUCAGUGAACUUUUGGAAUAAAAAAUUGAUCAAACCUAUUGAAGUGUACAGUGAUAAACUAAAAUUUAAUUAAAGCUGUGUGUUUGUCAAAUCAAAAA